rnacentral:rRNA from 1 species
CCUACGGGAUGCAGCAGUGAGGAAUAUUGGUCAAUGGGCGCGAGUCUGAACCAGCCAAGUAGCGUGAAGGAUGACUGCCCUAUGGGUUGUAAACUUCUUUUAUAUGGGAAUAAAAUGUUCCACGUGUGGGAUUUUGUAUGUACCAUAUGAAUAAGGAUCGGCUAACUCCGUGCCAGCAGCCGCGGUAAUACGGAGGAUCCGAGCGUUAUCCGGAUUUAUUGGGUUUAAAGGGAGCGUAGGUGGAUUGUUAAGUCAGUUGUGAAAGUUUGCGGCUCAACCGUAAAAUUGCAGUUGAAACUGGCAGUCUUGAGUACAGUAGAGGUGGGCGGAAUUCGUGGUGUAGCGGUGAAAUGCUUAGAUAUCACGAAGAACUCCGAUUGCGAAGGCAGUUCACUGGACUGCAACUGACACUGAGGCUCGAAAGUGUGGGUAUCAAACAGGAUUAGAUACCCCAGUAGUC